rnacentral:rRNA from 1 species
AUAUGCUUUCGAGGAAAUGGAUUUAUCCGCCUAGAGAGAGGCUUGCGGCUGAUUCCUUUUGUUGGUGAGGUAAUGGAUCACCAAGGCGACGAUCAGUAUCUGUUUUGAGAGGACGAUCAGACACACUGGUAAUGAGACACGGUCCAGACUCCUACUGGAGGCAGCAGUGCGAAAUUUUCCGCAAUGGGCGAAAGCCUGACGUAGCAAAACCGCGUGAGGGAUGACGGCCUAUGGCUUGCAAACCUCGAUUGUCAAGGAAGAAUCAAUGACGUGUACCUGAUUUAAUAAACAACGGCUAACUCCUUGCCAGCUACCCCGGUAGACUGAGGAUGCACUUGUUAUCCAAAAUCACUGGGCGUAAAAACGUCUGUAGGUGGUCAAAUAAGCCAACUGAUAAAUCUUGAUCCUCACCCUCAAAACGUCACUCUAAUCUAUCAAACUACACUAUAGAAUGGGUAAACGAAAUUUCCAGUGCAACGGUGGAAUGUGUCAAGUCGAAAGGACACCAUGGCCUCGGCCCUUCCCUGCGCUAUCCCCACACUCACAGACGAAACUUGGGAAAUCAAAUGGGAAUCGAGCCCCAGUACUCCUAUCUGUACACGAAGGAUACUAAAUGUUAGAAAGGUCUACCUGUGCAAAAUCAAAGGUAACG